GAUAUCAUUGCGAAAAAUGAAAGCAUACAUCUUAUUAAAUGGAGGGCUCCUUUUCUCCCAGCUUCGACUUUCUCCUUGGUAUCCAAAAGAUUCUCAAGCUGAGGUGGCAAAUAAGUUUGUUCAGAUGCAAGCUGAGGUAUGCUGCAAAAGGAUAUCACUUUUUGUUAGCAAGGUUUAUCAACUAAUUUUUUGGAAUAACCUGGCCUCAUUUCAUUCUUAUUUAUUUAUUGGACACUUCAGGAAAAUGCAUUGAUCAAGUGAAAUAAAAAUACAUCAUCACAUGCUCAGUGAAAUAAAAAUGCAUCUGUGUACACAGAAAUGUGUCUUCAAUUCAUUUCGGUUAGUAAAUUCUAAAAUGCAGAUAUCAUUGCGAAAAAUGAAAGCAUACAUCUUAUUCGGUGGAGGGCUCCUUUUCUCCUGGCUUUGACUUUCUCCUUGGUAUCCGAAAGAUUCUCAAGCUGAGGUGACUCCUAAUGGGUGAAUUAGCUUGUUUUUGUUGAAUCUUGUAUGUGUAUCACUGACAUAUUUUUCAAUGGUCAUACACUGCUUGCACUGUUUUAGACAACAAGCCUCUGCUCUCCACCCCUGCUUGUGCAUGAUAAGAUGAUAGUAUUAUGCCUUCCCAACUGGGACAUGAUUUCUUUCUUCGUCUCUCAAUGUUUUUAGAUUUUUGUUUGUACGUAAAAGCUGAAAUGGCACCCUCAAAGUAGAGAAGGACCAUGUAACUUUGGAUGUGACCACUAAUAAAACAGAAUAUGUUAAAAGAAUAUAUUAACAUACAUAAAAGACUGAAACGGUAAAAUAAUAUCAUUUUUGUUGUUUCUACUUUUCUUCUAGCAUAGACAACCAAAUAAGAUCAAAUAUCCACCUACAGUGUAAAGAAUACGAAGUUGAAGUUGUCACGGAGCAGUGAGAACCGAUACUCAGAUCAUAAGUAAGAUGACAUAUGCCAGUUAUAUGUAAAGUUUAGCUUUAAUGGCAACCACAAAUCUACUGUGAGUGCAUCUGUUCAUUGAUGUUAUGUAGCUUUCAACUAAUAACAAAAAUAUGGAGAUAAGAUUGUACCUCCAAUUGUAAGAUCGGCCAAGCAACAAGCUCUCAGUUGUUUUUUCGAUCGAUGGGAGAGAAGUAACGAACGAACGAAACGAAGUAUGAAUUGCUCCAUUAGGAGUAGAGAUUCGAAUUUUCUCCCGGCUUUGACUUUCUCCUUGGUAUCCAAAAGAUUCUCAAGCUGAGGUGACUCCUAAUGGGUGAAUUAGCUUGUUUUUGUUGAAACUUGUAUACGUAUCACUGACAUAUUUUUCAAUGGUCAUACACUGCUUGCACUGUUUUAGACAACAAGCCUCUGCUCUCCACCCCUGCUUGUGCACGACACGAUGAUAGUAUUAUGCCUUCCCGACUGGGACAUGAUUUCUUUCUUCGUCUCUCAAUAUUUUUAGAUUUUUGUUUGUACGUAAAAGCUGAAAUGGCACCCUCAAAGUAGAGAGGGACCAUGUAACUUUGGAUGUGACCACUAAUAAAACAGAAUACGUUAAAAGAAAUUAUUAACGUACAUAAAAGACUGAAACGGUAAAAUAAUAUCAUUUUUGUUGUUUCUAUUUUUCUUCUAGCAUAGACAACCAAAUAAGAUCAAAUAUCCACCUACAGUGUAAAGAAUACGAAGUUGAAAUUGUCACGGAGCAGUGAGAACGGAUACUCGGAUCAUAAAUAAGAUGGCAUAUGCAAGUUAAAUGUAAAGUUUAGCUUUAAUGGCAACCACAAAUCUACUGUAAGUGCAUAUGUUCAUGGAUGUCAUGUAGCUUUCAAUUAAUAAUAAAAAUGUGGAGAUAAGAUUGUACCUCAAUUGUAAGAUCGGCCAAGCAACGAGCUUUCAGUUGUCGGUACAAACGCAGUUGAUGUCGCAAGAAAAAUCAUCUCCUUGGUGCAGAACAUAGGAGAAGUUUACCACAGAGCAUCUUAUCCUUAGUGAUCCAAGUUAUUCUCUUGCACGAGUGGAGAAACCUGGAAUGUGUACCAAGACGAUCUUAAAUACUACUUACAAUGAUAAAAUAUCUUUGCCUUGGCACGUGUUUUUCCUCACUUUAUGAUGGGCAAGCACAAAUGGCAAUGCGACCAUUCCAGUAGAUCAAAAUAUUUUGGGUCUAGUGAUCAUCCAGAGGCGCAUGUAGUGGCUGACCCCGAAGGUGAUGUCCCCGACCGGCCACUUCCCUAGCAUCUGUUCGUACGUGAAUGACACCAUCCUUGUUUCCCCCCCUCAACGACAGUUCGCCUGUGACAAAAAGAUGUAAAAAUAGAUAUGGCAACCUGCAAAUAAAUCAACAUGCAUGUAGUUGUUACAAUCUAGUCAAUACGAUUUUAUGGAAAGGCUUGAUAAAAAAGCAAAAUGAAAAGCAAGGCAUAGAAGUAGAAGUCUCUCAAAUUGUUUUUCAAGA
rnacentral:lncRNA from 1 species